CGCUAGCGGGCUGCAGAGUCUCAAUAUGAAGACCAAAUCAGUCACGGACAACCUGGCGUGUCAAACACAUCAAAAAUUAUAUAGACCAGAGCUUGCUACAGAUCAAAGUCCCGGUGUUUUACAUCUAGCAUUAGGAAAGAUAUUAUGGGGAGAUAAAAAGGAGCGGAGGUCCCCGACAUGGCCCUGUCUCACAUGGAAUAAUCAGAAUUCCUAAAUAGAUAGAUGGAGCAGCAUCUACGUAACCCCAGAGCACUAGAAGAUGGCAUAGAUAAAUACAUCUUGGAGCCAGCAAAUUGUGGUAUUUAGUCCGCAGGAAUAAACAAAAGCGCUGGCUAAUCCGCAGGCCACUACCAGCCUGCCAUCACUUGAGGCGCCCUGAACCAACGGCUCGCCUCUCCUUGCCUGGAGGCACGAUGGCAUCCGCCCCCGCCGCCUCAAGUCGCCGUCGUGGUGGCUUCGUUUCCGCACAUCCGAGCCGCCCCGUUUUCCGCGCUCCUCGCGACAUCUCCAGUCUCACCCGACGCCGUGGCCGUGUUCGAUCCGGCUUCACCCCGAGCCAUACUGGCCGUUGCGGCCUCGCCUCGCCUCGAGUUACCUGCUGCUGUCGCCUCGCAUCAAGUCGCCCCGGACUCGAC
rnacentral:lncRNA from 1 species